AUUAACACACAGUAUUUUCACUGCCCUAAACCCUCUGUGCUCUGCCUGCUCAGCCUUGCCCAUGAAACCCCGGCAACCAUGGAUCUUUUGGGGGUUCUUUUUUGGUCUCAUAGUUGUGCCUUGUGCCUUUUCCCCAGUAUCCUAGAGCUGGAACCGUACAAGAUGCAGCCUUUCCAGACUGGCUUCCUUUACUCACUUGAUAGCAAAUCCCUUUUUAUCGCUGAGUGGAGAAUGAAUUUUCAACACCCCUUUCUCCUGAGAAGGAUCGUGCCCUCUCUGAGUUGAACAGGAACCUCUCGGCUUGGCAUCAGAGAGCACCCACGGGCUGUGCAACCCUCCUGUCCCCAGGCCAGGAGCACCUCUGACCACAAGACAAGUCCUCCUGGGGCUGGAACUGAGAAACGCAGAAGGUCCCCAGGGAGAAAGGCAGACACACCGUGUCCUCGCGCGUGGGGUGACACCGACGGACGAGGAGAGCCCAGGAGCUGGACAAAACAGUAGAGCCACACGGGAUGGCCCAGGGACAGCCAUUUCUGGGCAGGCUGCCGUGGGGAAGCUUGUGAGGAGGCGGGAGCCAGAGCCCAUGGCAGGGUUGGGGUCAGGGAGCCAGCACGGGGGCCCCCGAGGACUCUGUGUACCUCCUGCUCAAGUCACAUCAACAGGAGCGCUAGCAGAACCGGUGAGGCUGGUAUUUUCCAGAGCGCCUCCACACUUACAGUCAUUUGGCCUCCACAAAAGUCUCCGGAAACGACCCGCUGCCCGUGCGACAUGUGAAUCCCCGUGAAGACACGUUCAGCAACACAGGACAUCUCAGUCCAAAGGAGGCUAUCAUCGUCUAUCGGGUUUUUUUGUUUUGUUUUGUUUUUGGAAAAAAUAGCAAAUCACAGCACACAUCAGCUGA